CGCGUAACAAAGCAAGAAAUCGACCGAGUGACCGCUCGUACCUCGGAAAACUCGUGCAUUAAUGCACUCGUAGGUCAAAGUACCGCCGUGGUUCUGUUUUGGUUUCUAUUGAUUAGUGUGUAAUGGAAAAUUGCUGCACCAAUCACGGAUGCGGACGCAACCAGAGAGGCGGAGCUUCUAGUAUCAACACGCCUUUGCUGUAAAAGUGAUGGGAAGAUCGGAUCAUUUUAGUGACUCGGUUCUUUGAAUCUCAUUUAUGAAAAUGAACGAACGCGCGUCCAGUAGAAAAUAAAGAAUCACUCUUAGAGACGAAUCGUUCUUCUGAGUCACAUUAAAGACUCGUUCAGAAUCAAGGAAUCGUUCAUAACCGACUCAUCACUACUCUGCAUCAUCAGUAAUGAGCUCCGGGAGAAACUCUGUGUUCCAGGUGGAGGAUGAAGACCCUCUGCCGGGAUGGAGCGACUGUAAGACCCCUGUAACGCUCCAUCCAACACUUUAAGUCUCGUAAGGAGCGCGAGACUGAGAGGAACCACCACAUCCAGAGUCCAAACACUUGUCCCUCUGAGAAGUUGGACGCCGACCGCGAGGGGCAGCGUAACUAUUUAGCAUGCCGGAGUCUCGAUCGUUAUCGGAAUUAACCAGGCAAAUUGCUCCACCAACUAAGAACGGCCAUGUACCACCACCCAGCUCAAGUUCCAGCUGUGGAGGAAAAACCAGCUGCAGCUCAAGUUCAAGCUGUGGAGGAGAAACCAGCUGCAGCUCAAGUUCCAGCUGUGGAGGAGAAACCAGCUGCAGCUCAAGUUCCAGCUGUGGAGGAGAAACCAGCACAAGUUUAGAAUUCAGUAAAAGCUCCUUCAGCAUCUGCUUUAGAGGACAACGAGUGAACGUCUCGUCUGCGGCGGUAGAGGACGAUGAGUGGACGUCUCGUCUGUGGCGGUUUGUCAGCACUGGGGUUUGGCUCUGAAGCUGGAAACACACCUGCUCCUAGUCAGAAGAAAUGGUUGGAUCUGUUUUAUAAGAGGGAGAAAUGUCCAGUGCAGGUCCACGACCAGUCGAAACUUUCCGGUGGACCACAGAAACGUCUUUGUGGAUUCCACCCUCCUAAAGUGUUCAUUUCAGACUUUCAGGUCGUAAGUGUUCCACCUGCUGCAAGUGUUCCACCUGCUUUACUCCACUCCUACUGCUGUAGCGCCCCCUACCUCCACCCCCACAUUAUACAGCCUGCACUUUUAUGUCAUUUAAGAAGACCUUUAUAUGUCAUUAUCAUCAUUAUUAUGUUUAAGUUCAUAAUAUACAAUAUGUGUCU